rnacentral:rRNA from 1 species
GAUGAACGCUGGCGGCGUGCUUAACACAUGCAAGUCGAACGGUGAAGGCGGAGCUUGCUCUGCUGGAUCAGUGGCGAACGGGUGAGUAACACGUGAGCAAUCUGCCCCUGACUCUGGGAUAAGCGCUGGAAACGGCGUCUAAUACUGGAUACGAGCUGCGAAGGCAUCUUCAGCAGCUGGAAAGAAUUUCGGUCAGGGAUGAGCUCGCGGCCUAUCAGCUUGUUGGUGAGGUAAUGGCCCACCAAGGCGUCGACGGGUAGCCGGCCUGAGAGGGUGACCGGCCACACUGGGACUGAGACACGGCCCAGACUCCUACGGGAGGCAGCAGUGGGGAAUAUUGCACAAUGGGCGAAAGCCUGAUGCAGCAACGCCGCGUGAGGGACGACGGCCUUCGGGUUGUAAACCUCUUUUAGCAGGGAAGAAGCGAAAGUGACGGUACCUGCAGAAAAAGCGCCGGCUAACUACGUG